rnacentral:rRNA from 1 species
CCGGCGCACGGGUGCGUAACGCGUAUGCAACCUACCUUUUACUGGGGUAUAGCCCGGAGAAAUCCGGAUUAAUCCCCCAUAGUACUGACAACUCGCAUGAUGCGUCAGUUAAAGUUUCGGCGGUAAAAGAUGGGCAUGCGUCCUAUUAGCUAGAUGGUAAGGUAACGGCUUACCAUGGCUACGAUAGGUAGGGGGCCUGAGAGGGUGGUCCCCCACACUGGUACUGAGACACGGACCAGACUCCUACGGGAGGCAGCAGUGAGGAAUAUUGGUCAAUGGGCGCAAGCCUGAACCAGCCAUGCCGCGUGCAGGAAGAAUGUCCUAUGGAUUGUAAACUGCUUUUAUUUGGGAAUAAACCCCCCGACGUGUCGGGGUCUGAAGGUACCAAAUGAAUAAGCACCGGCUAACUCCGUGCCAGCAGCCGCGGUAAUACGGAGGGUGCAAGCGUUAUCCGGAAUCAUUGGGUUUAAAGGGUCCGCAGGCGGGCAUAUAAGUCAGUGGUGAAAGCCUACAGCUCAACUGUAGAACUGCCAUUGAUACUGUAAGUCUUGAAUUCGGUCGAAGUGGGCGGAAUGUGUAGUGUAGCGGUGAAAUGCAUAGAUAUUACACAGAACACCGAUAGCGAAGGCAGCUCACUAGGCCUGGAUUGACGCUCAGGGACGAAAGCGUGGGGAUCAAACAGGAUUAGAUACCCUGGUAGUCCACGCUGUAAACGAUGAUUACUCGUUUUCGGCGAUAUACAGUCGGAGACUAAGCGAAAGUGAUAAGUAAUCCACCUGGGGAGUACGAUCGCAAGGUUGAAA